rnacentral:rRNA from 1 species
GCCUAACACAUGCAAGUCGAGCGGCAGCGAGACGCGUAGCGAUACGAGUUGUCGGCGAGCGGCGGACGGGUGAGGAAGACGUAGGAACUUGCCCUUGAGAGGGGGAUAACCAAGGGAAACUUUGGCUAAUACCGCAUAGACCCGAGAGAGGAAAGCUGCCUGUAAGGGUGCCGCUUGAGGAGAGGCCUGCGUCCGAUUAGCUAGUUGGUAGGGUGAAAGCCUACCAAGGCGAUGAUCGGUAACUGGUCUGAGAGGACGACCAGUCACACUGGGACUGAGACACGGCCCAGACUCCUACGGGAGGCAGCAGUGGGGGAUAUUGGACAAUGGGGGCAACCCUGAUCCAGCGAUGCCGCGUGGGUGAAGAAGGCCUUCGGGUUGUAAAGCCCUUUAGGCUGGGAAGAAGUGAGUGACCUGAAUAAGGUUAUUCAUUGACGGUACCGGCAGAAUAAGCACCGGCAAACUCUGUGCCAGCCGCCGCCGUAAGAC